rnacentral:rRNA from 1 species
UACAGAGGGGGCAAGCGUUGUUCGGAAUUACUGGGCGUAAAGGGCGCGUAGGCGGCCCGCUAAGUCGAACGUGAAAUCCCCGAGCUCAACUCGGGAACUGCGUCCGAUACUGGAAGGCUUGAAUCCGGGAGAGGGAUGCGGAAUUCCAGGUGUAGCGGUGAAAUGCGUAGAUAUCUGGAGGAACACCGGUGGCGAAAGCGGUUCACUGGCCCGACACUGACACUGAGGUGCGAAAGCUAGGGUAGCAAACGGG